rnacentral:rRNA from 1 species
UACAGAGACUGCAAGCGUUAUUCGGAUUCACUGGGCGUAAAGGGUGCGCAGGCGGCCAAGUGUGUGAGGCGUGAAAGCCCGGGGCUUAACCCCGGAAUUGCACCUCAAACUACAUGGCUAGAGCAUUGGAGAGGGUAGCAGAAUUCAUGGUGUAGCAGUGAAAUGCGUAGAUAUCAUGAGGAAUACCAGAGGCGAAGGCGGCUACCUGGACAAUUGCUGACGCUCAGGCACGAAAGCGUGGGGGAGCAAAAAGGG